CACGUAGGGCGCAAGCGUUGUCCGGAAUUAUUGGGCGUAAAGAGCUCGUAGGCGGUCUGUCGCGUCUGCUGUGAAAACUCGGGGCUUAACCCCGGGCCUGCAGUGGGUACGGGCAGACUAGAGUGCGGUAGGGGAGACUGGAAUUCCUGGUGUAGCGGUGAAAUGCGCAGAUAUCAGGAGGAACACCGGUGGCGAAGGCGGGUCUCUGGGCAAUAACUGACGCUGAGGAGCGAAAGCGUGGGGGGCGAACAGG
rnacentral:rRNA from 1 species